CCUACGGGAGGCAGCAGUGAGGAAUAUUGGUCAAUGGGCGCGAGCCUGAACCAACCAUGUAGCGUGAAGGAUGAUUGCCCUACGGGUUGUAAACUUCUUUUAUAAAGGACUAAAGUGAGCCCCGUGUGCCUUUUUGUAUGUACUUUAUGAAUAAGGUCCGGCUAACUCCGUGCACGCACCCGCGUUAUUCCGGAGGUUCAGAGCUUUUUCCGGAUUUUUUGGGUUUAAAGGGCGCGUAGAUGGGAUGUUAAGUCAGGUGGGAAAGUUUGCGGUUCAAGCGGAAAAUUGCAAUUGAUACUGGCAGGCUGGAAUACAGAUGAGGUAGGAGGAAGUCGUGGUGUAGCGGUGAAAUGCUUAGAUAUCACGAAGAACUCCGAUUGCGAAGGCAGCUUACGAAACUGCCAUUGACAUUGAUGCACGAAAGUGUGGGUAUCAAACAGGAUUAGAUACCCCUGUAGUC
rnacentral:rRNA from 1 species